CGGUUAGUCGAUCCUAAGAGAUGGGGAAUCCUUGUAUCAAGGGUGCACUCUGCAUGAACAUCGAAAGAGAAUUGGGUUAAUAUUCCCGAACUGGGACAUGGUGGUGGACGACAAUGUUAGGAAAUCUGGAGAUGUCAUCGGGGGCUUGGGAAGAGUUAUCUUUUCUUUUUAACGACUUUCCCACCCUGAAAUUGGUUCAACCAGAGAUAGGGUCCAACAUCUGGAAGAGCACCACAUGUUUUGCGGUGUUUGGUGCCCCCUCGACAACCAUUUAAAAUAUGGAGAACCGAGUACCAUCCAUGCCCGAUCGUACU
rnacentral:ncRNA from 1 species